rnacentral:rRNA from 1 species
CCUACGGGGGGCUGCAGUGGGGAAUAUUGGACAAUGGGGGGAACCCUGAUCCAGCCAUGCCGCGUGUGUGAAGAAGGCCCUCGGGUUGUAAAGCACUUUCAGUGAGGAAGAACGCCUGGUGGUUAAUACCCAUCAGGAAAGACAUCACUCACAGAAGAAGCACCGGCUAACUCCGUGCCAGCAGCCGCGGUAAUACGGAGGGUGCGAGCGUUAAUCGGAAUUACUGGGCGUAAAGCGCGCGUAGGUGGCUUGAUAAGCCGGUUGUGAAAGCCCCGGGCUCAACCUGGGAACGGCAUCCGGAACUGUCAAGCUAGAGUGCAGGAGAGGAAGGUAGAAUUCCCGGUGUAGCGGUGAAAUGCGUAGAGAUCGGGAGGAAUACCAGUGGCGAAGGCGGCCUUCUGGACUGACACUGACACCGAGGUGCGAAAGCGUGGGUAGCAAACAGGAUUAGAUACCCCAGUAGUC